CCUCCCAAGUAGCUGGGACUAUAGGUGCCCGCCACCACACCUGGCUAAUUUUUUGUAUUUUUAGUAGAGACAGGGGUUUCACCAUCUUGGCCAGGCUGGUCUUGAACUCCUGACCUCAUGAUCCGCCCGCCUUGGCCUCCCAAAGUGCUGGGAUUACAGAGGUGAGCCACCGUGCCCGGCCCAUCUUAUUUAAUCUUUAAAACUUCAGAAUAAGUUAGCCGGUAUUGCCCCAUUUUCUAGAAGAAAAUACUGAGGUUUAUUAGACAUGACUUACUGAAGAUCACACAGCUAAUAAAUAGCAGAGGGGGAACUAGCUCACGGUGCUUUUACUCUAGUUUUACCUCCACAAAAUUUAGCAAAAAGAGAUUGGGUUGCAUUUGUCACUCUGGGCACUUUAAAGUCCAAAAAUACAAUAAAGAGACUCUAGAUUUGGUUAUCUUCUUUCUCAUAAGUAAGUUUUUAAAUUGAAAGUUUUAACUAAUGAAUCCUUCCAACUCUGCUGGGAGAAAGUGCUAUAAUACCUUCUUUUUUACAUGCUCUUACUGUUUUAGGGACUUAAAAUUGGGACCUUAUGUAGAUCAUUACUAUAGAGACUACCCAACGCUUGUCAGAACUACUGGACAAGUGUGCACAAUUGAUCCAGGUCAAACAGGAUUUAUGCAUCAUCCAUCAUUUUUUACUUCUGAGCCACCAAGUAUUUAUCAGUGGGUGAGUUCUUGUCUGAAGGGUGAAGGAAUGCCACCUUAUCCUUACCUCCCUGGAAUCUGUGAAAGAAGCAGACUAGUAGUGUUGGUAUGUAUGUGGAGUGUUACUACCUAUCUUCUUUUCCUUUUAAAAUUUAGUUUUAAAAAUUAUACCUAAUGUUAAGUUUUUCUUUCUGCGUAUAUUUCUGUGAAUUUCAGUAUGUGUAUAGAUUCAUGUAAUUACUACAAUUAGGAUAUAGAACAUUUGUAUCACCCUUAAACAUUUCUCUCAUGAUUUUGAGAUAAAUCCAAGUUGUUUCCUAUAUUAGCAGUUCAUUGCAUUCUGUGGCUGAUUAGUAGUUUAUUGCAUGGAUGUGCCAUAGUUGGUUUUUCAUUCAAGAUAAUUGGGUUGAUCACCGAAGCGGGAGCAGCCAAGAUGAAGUUCAGUCCCUUUGUGACUUCUGGCUAAUGCAAGAAUCGCAAAAGGCAUUUCAAUGCACCUUCCCACAUUCGCAGGAAGAUUAUGUCCUCCCCUCUUUCCAAAGAGCUGAGACAGAAGUACAACGUGCAGUCCAUGCCCAUCCGAAAGGAUGUUGAAGUUCAGGUUGUACGAGGACACUAUAAAGGUCAGCCGAUUGGCAAAGCAGUCCAGGUUUGCAGGAAGAAAUAUGUAAUGUACAUUGAACGGGUGCAGCAGGAAAAGGCUAAAGGCACAACUGCCCACGUAGGCAUUCACCCCAGCAAGGUGGUUACCACUAGGCUAAAACUGGACAAAGACCGCAAAAAGAUCCUUGAACAGAAAGCCAAAUCUUGCCAAGUAGGAAAGGAAAAGGGUAAAUACCAGGAAGAAACAAUUGAGAAGAUGCAGGAAUAAAGUAAUCUUAUAUACGAGCUUUGAUUAAAACUUGAAAC
ensembl:lincRNA